CAGCCAUACCACCCUGAACACUCCCAAUCUCAUCUGAUCUUGGAAGCUAAGCAGGGUCAGGACUGGUUAGUACUUGGAUGGGAGAUUGGGAUUUUAGAGUUAAAAAGC
rnacentral:rRNA from 1 species